ACGCUCGACACCUACGGGAAGCAGCAGUGGGGAAUAUUGCACAAUGGGGGAAACCCUGAUGCAGCGACGCCGCGUGGAGGAAGAAGGUCUUCGGAUUGUAAACUCCUGUUGUUGGGGAAAAAGAGGAUGGUACCCAACAAGGAAGUGACGGCUAACUACGUGCCNGCAGCCGCGGUAAUCUGAGCGGGCUGGCAAGGC
rnacentral:rRNA from 1 species